AGAGUUUGAUCCUGGCUCAGAUUGAACGCUGGCGGCAUGCCUUACACAUGCAAGUCGAACGGCAGCGGGACUUCGGUCCGCCGGCGAGUGGCGAACGGGUGAGUAAUGUAUCGGAACGUACCUUUCAGUGGGGGAUAACGUAGCGAAAGUUACGCUAAUACCGCAUAUUCUGUGCGCAGGAAAGCAGGGGAUCGCAAGACCUUGCGCUGAUUGAGCGGCCGAUAUCAGAUUAGCUAGUUGGUGGGGUAAAGGCCUACCAAGGCGACGAUCUGUAGCGGGUCUGAGAGGAUGAUCCGCCACACUGGAACUGAGACACGGUCCAGACUCCUACGGGAGGCAGCAGUGGGGAAUUUUGGACAAUGGGGCAACCCUGAUCCAGCCAUGCCGCGUGAGUGAAGAAGGCCUUCGGGUUGUAAAGCUCUUUCGGCCGGGAAGAAAUCGUAUGGGUUAAUACCCUGUGCGGAUGACGGUACCGGCAUAAGAAGCACCGGCUAACUACGUG
rnacentral:rRNA from 1 species